GAGAGGGAGGGAGAGAUGCCAUUUCUCGUAACUGAUAUGCAGAGGGAAAAGGGAGGGGAGAAGAGAGACGGAGAGAUAUAGGAAGGCGAGGAAGGGAGACAAAAAGCUAUGCAAGGAAGAAAGGAAGGAAGAAAAGUCAAAUAUGCAGGGAAGAAAGGAGAGAGAGAGAGAUGGAGGGAGAGAGAAUAUGCAGAAAUGGAAACUCAGCCUCAUGGCUUCACAGUGUUGGGCGUUAAUAAACUGGAGGCUAAUUGUUUUUCCAUCCCACCCCUGAGGAGCUAACAAGCAGAAUAUGAGGAAGGGAGGUCCCCAUAGGUUGCUGGACUACAGAUGCCCUCCCCCAUAGCCAGAGGUUGAACGACAAUUCCCAACGACCCCCCACUUGAACUGAUCUCCCAUGGUUCUGUUUCCUGCACAGAGCUAAGCAGCGUUCACUUCAUGGAGACCGAUUACGACAACUAUAUCAUUACUCGUGUUAAGACUGCAGAAGACACCGGGAUGUAUCUCUCUGCCAGAAGCCUGCAAGUGGGAGAUGACAUCAAAGAGAAAUUCAAGAAACUGGCUUUGGCCCAGGGGUAUCCUGAGGAUAAGAUCAUCCAUAUCAAGAGAGAUGGACAAUGCACACCCUGAGCACACCUGUCCAAAAUAGCUGGAAGCAGCAUUUCUUCAAAUUCUAGAUUGAAAAAACUAUGGUGAAAAUUCAGCAACGAUUGCUAAUGUAUAUACUCUAGUGGGGUGGAGAGUUGGAGAAAUUAGAGGCAUGAGCCAAUGACGUCCAUCUCCCAUGUCUACAUAGAUCAAACUGGUCUCUCUGCACAUUCUGUAACAGACCCGGAAAUUUCCCUCCUUCCGUUUCCAAGGGAGACUCUUCUGUGGAGCGGUGGAGCUGGGAUUCACUGCACAUUUGACCCUGCUUGACUAGGCUCAGCAGAGAUGGGGGAGCCAUUGGAUAUAUUCUCCAAAACAUCCAUCUUGCUAAA